rnacentral:rRNA from 1 species
AGAGUUUGAUCCUGGCUCAGGAUGAACGCUAGCGAUAGGCUUAACACAUGCAAGUCGAGGGGCAUCACGAAUUAGCAAUAGUUUGGUGGCGACCGGCGCACGGGUGCGUAACACGUAUACAACCUACCUUCAAUUGGGGGAUAACCUGGAGAAAUUCGGACUAAUAUCCCAUAGUAAACGGAAGAGGCAUCUUUUUUGUUUUAAAGAUUUAUUGAUUGGAGAUGGGUAUGCGUAGGAUUAGCUAGUUGGUAAGGUAACGGCUUACCAAGGCGACGAUCCUUAGGGGUUCUGAGAGGAAGGUCCCCCACACUGGUACUGAGACACGGACCAGACUCCUACGGGAGGCAGCAGUGAGGAAUAUUGGUCAAUGGUCGAGAGACUGAACCAGCCAAGUCGCGUGAAGGAAGACGGCUCUAUGAGUUGUAAACUUCUUUUGUACAGGAGUAAAGUGAGACACGUGUGUUUUAUUGCAAGUACUGUACGAAUAAGCAUCGGCUAACUCCGUGCCAGCAGCCGCGGUAAUACGGAGGAUGCAAGCGUUAUCCGGAUUUAUUGGGUUUAAAGGGUGCGUAGGCGGUAUUACAAGUCAGGGGUGAAAUCUUGGUGCUUAACAUUAAAAUUGCCUUUGAAACUGUGGUACUUGAGUGUAAAAGAGGUAGGCGGAAUGUGUUGUGUAGCGGUGAAAUGCAUAGAUAUAACACAGAACACCGAUUGCGAAGGCAGCUUACUAUCAUACAACUGACGCUGAUGCACGAAAGCGUGGGGAUCAAACAGGAUUAGAUACCCUGGUAGUCCACGCAGUAAACGAUGAUUACUAGCUGUUAGCGAUAUAUUGUUAGUGGCUAAGCGAAAGCGAUAAGUAAUCCACCUGGGGAGUACGUUCGCAAGAAUGAAACUCAAAGGAAUUGACGGGGGCCCGCACAAGCGGAGGAACAUGUG